UACGGGGGGGGGCAAGCGUUGUUCGGAAUUACUGGGCGUAAAGGGCUCGUAGGCGGCCAACUAAGUCAGACGUGAAAUCCCCCAGGCUCAACCUGGGAACUGCGUCUGAUACUGGAUGGCUUGAAUUCGGGAGAGGGAUGCAGAAUUCCAGGUGUAGCGGUGAAAUGCGUAGAUAUCUGGAGGAAUACCGGUGGCGAAGGCGGCAUCCUGGACCGGCAUUGACGCUGAACAGCGAAAGCUAGGGGAGCAAACGGG
rnacentral:rRNA from 1 species